rnacentral:rRNA from 1 species
GUCUAUGGCCAUACAACCCUGAACACGCCCAGUAUCGUCUGAUCUCGAAAGCUAAGCAGGAUCAGGCCUGGUUAGAAUUUGGAUGGGAGAAAGAAAUAAUAAAUAAGGCCCUAUAUC